rnacentral:rRNA from 1 species
UACGUAGGGCGCAAGCGUUGUCCGGAAUUAUUGGGCGUAAAGAGCUCGUAGGCGGCUUGUCACGUCGGGUGUGAAAGCCCGGGGCUUAACCCCGGGUCUGCAUUCGAUACGGGCUAGCUAGAGUGUGGUAGGGGAGAUCGGAAUUCCUGGUGUAGCGGUGAAAUGCGCAGAUAUCAGGAGGAACACCGGUGGCGAAGGCGGUGAUCUGGGCCGACACUGACGCUGUAGAGCGAAAGCGUGGGGAGCGAACAGG